UUUGAAUUUCAUAGUCGUAACUAGUAAAACAUAGGAAUAGACAAAAGUUUCCCCAAACGGCCAUGAUUUCUGGGUGUGGCGGCUAAAGUUUGUGAGUGAUCUCUGCCACCAAGCCCGCACUGUGUCUGUGUUGGAUCUUCAACUUGAAUGGCACGUUCCUUAUGCCUAUCCCUUCCAAAUACUUCCGGAACCUUGUCUGAUUUCAACAAACUAUACUCUUCCUCUCAUUCUCACCAUUUACCAAAACCGAACCUGCAAUUUAACUCUAGCUGGGGCCCAGAGGUGCGGCCCGUGACGGCGGCCCAUUUGGGUAACCGAAAGAAGCUUAAUGCGUUGAGCGAAGAUGGAGAGAGCAGCUACCAUGGGUCGAUGGAGGAUAAGCAAUUCGUGCGUUCGUUUCGCGAGGCCUGGCCUUACUUGUGGGCCUAUCGUGGUAGCACCUUUGUUGUCAUUAUUUCCGGUGAAAUUGUUUCUGGCCCUUUCUUGGAUGUCAUUCUCAAGGAUAUAGCUUUCCUUAAUCACCUAGGAAUCCGCUUUGUUCUUGUUCCGGGGACACAUGUGCAGAUAGACAAGCUUCUGAAUGAGAGAGGGUGCCAGCCUAUGUAUGUUGGUAGAUAUAGGAUAACUGAUGAUGAAUCUCUGGAAGCUGCCAUGGAAGCAGCUGGGGGCAUAAGAUUGAUGAUAGAAGCAAAACUUUCUCCUGGACCUUCCAUAUGCAACAUUCGCCGUCAUGGUGACAAUAGUCGAUGGCACGAAGUUGGUGUCAGUGUUGCCAGUGGUAACUUUCUUGCAGCCAAGAGAAGAGGGGUGGUCAAUGGAAUUGAUUUUGGGUCAACUGGGGAAGUUAAAAAAGUAGACGUAACUCGCAUGCGUGAGAGACUUGAUGGUGGCUGUGUAGUUGUAUUAACCAACUUGGGCUAUUCCAGCUCUGGAGAAGUAUUAAAUUGCAACACCUAUGAAGUUGCCACUGCUUGUGCCUUGGCUAUAGGGGCAGACAAGCUAAUAUGCAUAAUAGAUGGUCCAAUACUUGAUGAGAGUGGACACCUAAUUCGUUUCUUGCCUCUUCAAGAAGCAGACAUGCUAAUUCGUAAACGGGCUAAGCAAAGUGAUGCAGCUGCUAACUAUGUGAAAGCUGUUGACGAAGAAGGUUUCAACUCUCUUGAGUGUAACAAUUUUAAUGGAACAGUCAAAUCACCACCUAUUGGAUGUUUUACAGAAUGGCAUAAUGCAACCUUCCAUAAUGGUGUUGGUUUUGAGAAUGGAAAUGGCUUAGGGUCCGGUGAGCAAGGUUUUGCUAUUGGAGGUCAAGAGCGGCUAAGUCGAAUGAAUGGCUACCUGUCAGAAUUGGCCGCUGCAGCUUUCGUUUGCAGAGGUGGUGUUCAAAGAGUUCACUUGCUGGAUGGAACUAUUAGUGGAGUUUUGUUGUUGGAAUUGUUUAAAAGAGAUGGGAUGGGAACAAUGGUGGCUAGUGACCUUUACGAAGGCACUCGGACAGCAGAGGUAAAAGAUAUUUCUGGAAUAAAACAACUUAUUCAUCCUUUGGAGGCAUCUGGCAUAUUGGUUAAGCGGACUGAUGAAGAGCUGUUAAAAACAUUGGAUUCAUUCGUUGUUGUGGAAAGAGAAGGUCACAUAAUUGCUUGUGCUGCCAUUUUUCCUCACUUUGAGGAGAAGUGUGGAGAGGUUGCUUGUAUUGCAGUAUCUCCUGAUUGUCGUGGCCAAGGACAGGGUGACAAAUUGCUUGAUUAUAUGGAGAAGAAAGCAUCAUCUCUUGGAUUUAAUAUGCUUUUCCUUCUUACAACACGUACUGCAGAUUGGUUUGUAAGGCGUGGAUUUUCAGAAUGUUCAAUUGAUUAUAUUCCUGAAAAGAAAAGGAGAAUGAUCAAUCUUUCCCGCAAUUCUAAGUAUUAUAUGAAGAAGCUUCUGCCAAAUAUUAGUGGAAUUACUGUUGGUGUAAAAUCUGCUUCAAGUUAGUACCAUUUUAUGUUGUUUCCACCAACCAGGAGUGAAGGGUGAUUGGAAGCAAUAUAUUAGGCACUUCUAUAUAUAAUUGGCUCGUAACAGUGUGGCCUCUGGAAUUAUUAGUAUCUCGUUCAGGUCUUCCAUGUGUAAGCAUUAAGUUUCUAACUUUCUACUGUUAAUAUAUUGUGAAUUACUAAGCUCAUGUUAUUAUCUUGAUGAAUUACUAAGCUCAUGUUAAUAUUUGUUGAUUAGAUAGAGAAUGUGAUUCAUAGUUCA